rnacentral:rRNA from 1 species
GCUCGUAGCAAUACGGGAGUGGCAGACGGGUGAGUAACGCGUGGGAACAUACCCUCCGGUUCGGAAUAGCUCAGGGAAACUUGGAUUAAUACCGGAUACGGCUGAGAGGCGAAAGAUUUAUCGCCGGAGGAUUGGCCCGCGUUCGAUUAGCUAGUUGGUGAGGUAACGGCCCACCAAGGCUCCGAUCGGUAGCUGGUUUGAGAGAACGACCAGCCACACUGGGACUGAGACACGGCCCAGACUCCUACGGGAGGCAGCAGUGGGGAAUCUUGGACAAUGGGGGCAACCCUGAUCCAGCCAUGCCGCGUGAGUGAUGAAGGCCUUCGGGUUGUAAAACUCUUUCGACGGGGACGAUAAUGACGGUACCCGUAGAAGAAGCUCCGGCUAACUUCGUGCCAGCAGCCGCGGUAAUACGAAGGGGGCUAGCGUUGUUCGGAAUUACUGGGCGUAAAGCGCGCGCAGGCGGCUUCUCAAGUCAGGGGUGAAAGCCCAGAGCUCAACUCUGGAACUGCCCUUGAAACUGUGGAGCUUGAGUACGGGAGAGGUGAGUGGAAUUCCCAAUGUAGAGGUGAAAUUCGUA